AAAAUCCUCUGUUUCAUUUGUAAAGCAUCGGAGCUCCCAGUUGCUACUCUUAACGCUAAUUGGAAUCAACCUCUGCAUGGGAAAGAGGAAAUCAAGAGCAAAGCCUGCUGCUAAGAAGCGAAUGGAUAAACUUGAUACUGUUUUCAGCUGUCCAUUUUGUAACCAUGGCGCACCAGUGUCGAAUGCCGCAUUGAUAUGAACAACUUGAUCGGUGAAGCCUCGUGCAGGAUUUGCCAAGAAAGUUUCAGCACUGUUAUAACAGGUACUUCUGAUGAUGUUGACU